GGGGUGGUUGAGGCCUGGUGGUCUCCGCGGUCUUCAAAACCGUUGAUGGGUAGCGACGAGCUAGCCAUGGUGGGUUCGACUCCCAUCCACUCCC
rnacentral:tRNA from 1 species